AUUUUUUAAAAACUUUUAAAAGAGCAUCAAUUCAUUCAAAUUUGAGAUGAGUAAACCCAAUCAACUUCGGUCACUAUUCUAAGUAUCUUCAGCAUCCUCGCUAUAGGUUCUCGCUAGCAAAGAAUUAUCACAUCAUCAGAGAUUUUACCUUUUAAUAUGAUAAGAGAAGUCUGCUUCAUUUUCCAAUCUCAAAGAUUUGAGACCUGACAAAGCCGCAAAGCCUCCAAGUUUAAGAUCCUCCAUCCAUGGACAAUAUACUGUAAAAAAGGGAGACUUUAUAUGAUACUGAUGAGAAAAGAGCAAAGAUAAUUCUUCCAGUUGCAAGCUUCAUCCAUUGUGCAGGUAGUAAACUCUUUUCUUCUCACGUUUAAAGAUUUCCAGUGGAUGAAAAUCCUAACAUUCAAGAGGUAAAAGAAUUCAAAACAAUGCUCCAAAGCAAAAGACUAACAAGAAGAUUAAUUGAAAUUUUGAAAUCAAAGGCUGAAGAAGCUUGAUUUUAAUAUACAAGAUGAUGUGGCUGUUGGAUCUAAAUUUAUAUAUUACUAUAUCUUUGCAAUUGGAUGACAUAAGUUUUUUUUUUUCUAAUGGCUAUUAUGCAUCUUAUAAAGGAUAUUUUUGGGUAACUCUCAUUCUCAUUUCUAAUGCUUAUUAAUAUGAAGGAAAGGUUUAUAUAUAACAUGUUAUUUUCGGUUAUCUCAA